GUAAGAUGCCACCCUUCUGGAACACUUAUUCAUUCAGAAUUCCAGACACAAUGACAUGAAGAUGCUUCUAGAAUCAGUUUCUUCUAGUAAAUUUGCUCUAAAAAUACUCAUUCAUUAAAAUGGACACAUAAGAAGACAAGGAAUCUUAAAGGUUUAGUAUAUUUGGCUGCAUAACAAGGACUCUGGCAAAGAAGACAAAACCACAGCAAUAUGAGAGUUUGGUUAAUGACUCUCAUUUUAUUAAA